GUAGUCUGCAACCCGACUACAUGAAGCUGGAAUCGCUAGUAAUCGCGGAUCAGAAUGCCGCGGUGAAUACGUUCCCGGGUCUUGUACACACCGCCCGUCACACCAUGGGAGUCGGAAAUGCCCGAAGUCGGUGACCCAACCGUAAGGAGGGAGCUGCCGAAGGUGGAGCCGGUAACUGGGGUGAAGUCGUAACAAGGUAUC
rnacentral:rRNA from 1 species